rnacentral:tRNA from 1 species
GCCCACGUAGCUCAGUCGGUAGAGCGCUGGACUUUUAAUCCAGUGGUCAAGGGUUCGAGUCCCUUCGUGGGUG